AUUGAACGCUGGCGGCAGGCUUAACACAUGCAAGUCGAGCGGUAACAGGAAUAGCUUGCUAUUUGCUGACGAGCGGCGGACGGGUGAGUAAUGCUUGGGAAUAUGCCUUAUGGUGGGGGACAACAGUUGGAAACGACUGCUAAUACCGCAUAAUGUCUACGGACCAAAGGGGGGGAUCUUCGGACCUCUCGCCAUUAGAUUAGCCCAAGUGAGAUUAGCUAGUUGGUAAGGUAAUGGCUUACCAAGGCGACGAUCUCUAGCUGGUUUGAGAGGAUGAUCAGCCACACUGGGACUGAGACACGGCCCAGACUCCUACGGGAGGCAGCAGUGGGGAAUAUUGCACAAUGGGGGGAACCCUGAUGCAGCCAUGCCGCGUGUGUGAAGAAGGCCUUCGGGUUGUAAAGCACUUUCAGUUGUGAGGAAAGGUGUGUAGUUAAUAGCUGCAUACCGUGACGUUAACAACAGAAGAAGCACCUGCUAACUUCGUGCCAGCAGCCGCGGUAAUACGAGGGGUGCAAGCGUUAAUCGGAAUUACUGGGCGUAAAGCGUUCGUAGGCGGUUGAAUAAACAAGAUGUGAAAGCCCAGGGCUCAACCUUGGAACUGCAUUUUGAACUGUUCGACUAGAGUACUGUAGAGGGGGGUAGAAUUUCA
rnacentral:rRNA from 1 species